CCGACUAGUUCCGGGUUCGAGUCCCGGGCAACCCA
rnacentral:tRNA from 563 species